GACGUAGGGCGCGAGCGUUGUCCGGAUUUAUUGGGCGUAAAGAGCUCGUAGGCGGCUUGUCGCGUCGAAUGUGAAAACUCGGGGCUCAACCCCGCGCUUGCAUUCGAUACGGGCAGGCUCGAGUUCGGUAGGGGAGACUGGAAUUCCUGGUGUAGCGGUGAAAUGCGCAGAUAUCGGGAGGAACACCAGUGGCGAAGGCGGCGAUCUGGGAAGAUACUGACGCUGAGGUGCGAAAGCGUGGGGAGCAAACAGG
rnacentral:rRNA from 1 species